CAGGGAUUCCCUUAGUAACGGCGAGCGAAGUGGGAACCAGCCCAGGUCUGGAAUCUCCCGGUCGGCAUUAGUCGUGACUGGGCGAAUUGUGGUCUGGAGAGGCAGACUGUCCCGAUCCACCGCCUGCGAGCCCGAAGUUGACUUGGAACGGCACGCCAGAGAGGGUGAGAGCCCCGUAGGGCAUGGAAAUCGUUAGCGGCGGGACGAGGGUCUGUUCUCGUAGAGUCGGGUUGUUUGGGAAUGCAGCCCAAAGUGGGUGGUAGACUCCAUCCAA
rnacentral:rRNA from 1 species